GCCCUGAUGGUCUAGCGGUAUGAUUCUCCCUUAGGGUGUUCACGACGCGCCUGGGAGAGGUCCCAGGUUCGAAUCCUGGUUAGGGCC